rnacentral:tRNA from 1 species
GGGGAUGUAGCUCAGUGGCAGAGUGUUUGCCUAACAUGUAUGCGGCACUGGGUUCCAUCCUCAGCACCACA